rnacentral:piRNA from 1 species
UNCACAGCACCUUCCCAUCUACUUGGAGCC